rnacentral:lncRNA from 1 species
CUGGAUCUUGUUUUCUCACCUUAUUUUCUCGGUUGUUUUUCCUACCUAUAAAACAUUAAAACAUAACUUUUUUUUUUCCUCACAACAUACCCUAGCAGAGAGAGAAGCUGUAGAGAAACAAAAAUGGCGAAGUUACGGCUGCUCGAUUCUAGUUGAUUUUGAAUCUAUUUCGGGUAAGAUUUCUUCAUUAUUCUUCUAUCCUCUUCUUCUUCUUUUCUAUUUACUACUUUGUUCAGUUUGAUUUGUUCAGUUCGAAGUGAUUUUCUCUUCUUUUUUCUUUUUUUUGUUGAAGUACACAUUCAAUUCUUCCUUUUCUUUAUAUUUCUUCUACCUUCUUCCUCUUAUUUUUAUUUCUUGUUGUGUUCUUCCUAUUGUGUUCUUCUACUGUAAUUUUUUUGUUUUGAAAGCUCUAGUGUUUGAAAUUUUGUGCAAAUUUUGAUGAAAACUUGGUUAGGGUUUUUUAUUUUGGUUUUUUUUCCCUAUUUAACUGUUUAAUUUUGCAAAAAGUUUACGAAUUUAAGUUCGAUUUUUGUUUCUAGGAUUUUAAAUUUGGGAGUUUCCAAAUUAGGGUUAAAAUUUGGGGGUAUUUCUCCGUCUAUUGAAUUCUGCUGUCAUUAGGUUAAAUUCUCCUUUUAUAUUAAUCAGUUAUAGCUUUUGUGAUUGUAUUAUUCUGGUAGUGCCAUCAUGUUCUACAUUGUGGAUAUUGUGAUUUUGUUAUUCAUGUUGUUCAUAUUGAAUAGAAUUGUUCUUUUAUCCAAUGUAAUCAAAUAUAUUUCCUUGUUCUAAUUAUUGGUUGUUUUGUGUUUAGGUUACAUAAGAUUUCUUGUUUGUGGUAAUGGAAUUGAUUGAUAUGAUCAAUUGUGGGUUGUAUUAAUUUUUGUUUUUCUGUCCUAAACAUGGUGCAUACUUGAAUGUUUGUUUCCUUAUUGCUACUGCACCUAAAUCAUGAACAUUGUGCAUACUACAAUGUUUUAAUUUUGUUGUUUUUGUUGCAUUGUGGUUCUUAUUUGAUUGGUUGGAAAUGUAUUUCUUGGUGCUUGUUGUUUUUUGUCUUCUGUCUUCUAUGAGUCUUGUUGGUUUACUUAAUAUAUUCGAUUAUUCUUUAUCGAAUGUUUGAAUUAUCACGAGGGUAAUGUAUUCCAUGUAUACAUGUGUAGAUAAUGCCUAAAAAAUUUGCGGGUCACCUAGUAAAUGGUUGGUGAUAAUAAUGGAGAUGAUAACUAUACCCCACAAGACCUCAACUGUCCUGUGAAUGGAUCACCACCUGGCUAGUUGGUUCUUUAUUUUAUACAUUCAAAUUUUCUGUAGUACAAAUGGUUUCGUGAAAUGAUGGCAUUGUUAUUGUAGAGAACAUAAAAGAAGAAGAAGAUGAUGAUGUGAACCUAGAAGGGUUAGAUACCCAAAUUCCUUCCAACACACCAAUUGGAUUAACACCACUUGCAUCAACUGAAGUUCUAGGAGAAAGUUCAGCAACUGGAGGGGAUGCUCGCAAAAGGAAAGGUAGUGAUGCACCUAUUUUACCAAAGCGUAAUAAGCUGAAAUUUGGAUUGAUAGAUAUACCUGAACCAGCAUCCUUCAAGGGGUUGACUGCAGCUUUGCAGAGUAUAGCCCAAAGUCUGGAAAAACCCAAGAUUGCAGAUCUGUCAACUGCACUUCAAGAGAUGACAAAUGGGGACAGAGAUAUGUAUCUGAGAGCAAUGGACUUUCUAGGAGACAACCCUAGUUUGAUGGCAAUGUUUGUGGGUAUAGAGAAGGAAUACAAGAUGGAAUGGCUUUUGAGAAAGCUUAAUGCCCAUAGGUAGUGAAGGGUGAUCUUGGUGUUUCUAUUUUUUUUAGGCUGCGGAAGUAUUCCUUUUUGUAUGUUGCAGAAGUGUGUUUUAACCUUGUUAUAAUCAUGUACUAGUUUGAUUGUGAACUUAUUUUCAUCACAACCUUUUGAACUUGGUUUGAAUAUAAAUAGUUUGAUUUUGAACUAUUUUAUGAUGUCGCAGCCUUUCAAAUCUCAUUUGAUUUUAUAUAUUCCAUGUUAUGUAAAUUGUGUUUAGAUUAGGGUUUUCUUGACAGAAAGGUUACUGUGAGUCUGAGAUACGAAAGGGAGAAAUGAGAUGGAGAAAUGAGACCUAUAGCUAACGAAGACAAGCUCAAUCAGAUUCAUGUAAAUGACAGAGCAGUUCCUGGUGAACUUUUAACUUUUUUCCUCACAAGUUACUACGGGUUCUUUAAAUAGCCUAACUUGAAGACAACCUUUGAUUAAGCCACAUUACCAUAACAUACAGUUGUUGUUUUUGUACCCUUAGCCAUUUCUCCCUAACAAGGACACAAAAGUUCCAUCUAUAAAGCCAUUGGUAUGGUCAGCUCCGCAGUUUUGAUUUUGUAUGGCCGUAUCAUUGAAACCUAUGAAUGGAUUAGGACUUGUAUGUAUGUAUGCUGGUACAUUCCAACUUUUAUGAUGGUUUACUCGAACUUUUUAACGAAACCUUGUUUGUUUGUUUAUUUAUUUAUUUAUUUUUAUUUUUUAUGAAAAUCAAACCUUGUUCAAUUUUGUAUUUCACACAAACUUUUUUGCACACUUUUUUUUAAGGAACACUAGCAGAUUAUUCUGAAAGUUGUUGAGGUUCAUCAUUGAAAGAUGAAUAUACUUCGUUGUAAUUUUUUUUCUCAUUAUUUCUUAUUUAUUUUGGCUAAUUAUAAUUUGGUAUGCUUACCGCUUACGGACCUUUAAUUUGGUCGUGUAUUGGGCCACAAAUCGGGUCGAUGGCAUAUGUCCAUUGGAUUGAUUGUAGGAAAAGAUCCAAAGUCCAUAAAGAAUCAUAAGUGCAAGCCCAUAGCCCAUCAGUUUAAGUCAAUUUACCCGACUGAAAAGAGUUAUCAAACGCAGGUAAAAUUGGCAAAACCAUUUUCCUACAUUUACCAAACACAUUAACAAACAGCGGCAAAUGGUUUUUCCAAAAAAUUUCUCGGAACACGAAUUUGCCAAAUCCACUAGUUUUGCCGCUUUGCCUAUUUUCUCGGGACCUAGUGGAAAGUUAUCAAACAGACCCUAAGCUGAGUAUUGCAUAUACAGUACAAUAUUAGAACAAGUAACUUUUCAACAUUAGAAUACAUAUCUGACAGUUUCUUCCUUUUCAAUUUUUUUUUCUUCAUGCAAAUUGUAGUGUCUUAAUUAAUGUAUUUAUGAUUAAAAAUGACAUACUAUCGUAAGGCUGCCCAUCGUGCGCUCAACUAAAAAUCCCUAAGCUAGCUUCCUCUCUUUGGAUAAAACUGGCUGUAAAUUUUCUCCCAAUUGUUAUACUAGCAAAUCUAGUCCCUUACCGCUAUGAAGUGAUAUUGUCUUCCUACACAUGGCAGAGCUGAGAAGAGAAGAGGGUGAGGAAAUUACUCAUCCUGCUGGACUAGCUGCAAUAUUGGGAAGACUCUGUCAAGAGAUAUUUUAGUCCCUUCUAUUUCUUCAUUGCACUCGAGUUCUUGAAAUCUGCUCAAGCCAAGGAAUGAAAUUUUUGUGAAGUACACUCACUCGAGGAUUGAUUCAUAUCUUCACAGAAGAUCAAGCACCCUACGCAAUAUUUUCGGUAAUUUAAAAGACAAGGAGCAGCAUGGUUCCUUCUUGUAGCUUUUUGAGAGAUUGCAAAGUGCAUUAUAUAUUUACAGCAAAAUGUAUUCAUUUGCAUUUGAACUCAAAAUUUAGUUGAAGGGUUGUUUUUGUCUGUAUAUUUUCUUGUUUUCCAGAGAAUAGAGGACUAGUAUAUAGGUAUUGUCUGCAGGGAGCCUGAAUUAAGAAAUUCGAAUCAAAAUUUUUCUGGUGGCAUUGCUAAUGAGAAAAUGAUUUUACUGGUGUGGAGAGUGUCAUGGUGGUGAGCCAUUAUAACAAAACUAUAAAUUAUUCUUCAUAAUCUUCAUUACAAUCCAGGAGCU